rnacentral:tRNA from 3 species
GGAGAGAUGGCCGAGCGGCUGAAGGCGCUCCCCUGCUAAGGGAGUAUGGGUUAAAAGCCCAUCGAGGGUUCGAAUCCCUCUCUCUCCGCCA